rnacentral:sRNA from 1 species
CUAGAAUUGAUCGCCUAAAAAUAACUGCAUAUUCGAGCUUCGAUUGUGCAACACACUGGUACUUUCGCCACCAGGAAGUUGUUUGUAAUUAUCGUAUAAUUAGCGAGGUGAUAAUUAAAAAGGUCUGAGGUAGCCCCAAUCGUGAUCGAUUAAUUUAGAGAUCUGCCACCUAUCCAUCCGCUUCGCCCACAGCCUCUCCGGCAAUUCAUUUCCACUUCCCCAGCCCGAUCUGAUCC